rnacentral:rRNA from 1 species
GGGAGUGAAAAAACGUAACAAGGUUUCCGUAGGUGAUACCUGCGGAAGGAUCAUU